rnacentral:lncRNA from 1 species
UGGGGGGCGAGGGAACGCGGGGGUCGGCGGGGCGCAGGCGGGCUGCGCCGGGGUCCCGGCUCUGCGCUGCUGUGCAGUGCGCGGAAUUUUCUUUCCAAGCGGCCGCCUGGUUAUGCCCGCGGCUCCCUCCGCCCACACUUCGCCGCUCCCGGCGCAGAAACCUCACAGAAUAUUUAUACACUGCUGAGGGCUGGGAACCCAGCGGAAUCGGUCGAGGCCCUGCCCUGCGGAUGCUCCUGUCGGUAAGAGACAGCCACACACAGAUGCUGGCAGCCAUGCAGAGACAAGAGAGAAACCUCUGGCUAUAGACCCAGAGGAGAAGGUACCAUGACUGGGGGAGGAGGUUCUCUGGUUUUACAAAGCAAAGGACGUGUGGCAAGUCAGCAAGACCACAUGGCCAAGCCAGUUACACAGCCCUGUCAUGGUCCAGCACACGAGCAAAAAUAGCCCGCAGCCCCCAGAGCUGACUGUGCGCCGGGCGUGCCAAGCGCUGUGUGUGAAGGUUUCUAAGAUGUCAGGGUAGAUUCCAGAUUUGGAUAGCGGAACCCCACCGCCGGCUGCUAUAUUCAUGCAUUAGCUCCAUCAGUCCUCCUAACGAUCCUAUGGGGCUAGAACCUGCCAUUACAGCUGUUUGACAGGUGAGGCAGUGAGGCUGAGGGAGCUUGAGUGACUUGCUCAACGUCACAUAGCCAGGCGGCAUCAUCAGUGGCAGGUUUGAAGCCCUGGGGGUGUGCUGCUGACUUCCAGGACACGUGGGUCUGUGAGUCUGAAUGUCCUGAUCAGAAGUCACGGGAUGGCUGGGAGGAGGCCGGUCCACAGCCCAAGCUGCCUCCUUCCCCCUCUGCCCCCGCGCGGGCCUGCAGGGCCCCCCGUUCUAGACCGGAGUUGGGAAGCCUGAUCUACCUCCUCCCACUGGCUCUGCCUCUUUGAGGAGACACCUGCCCUUCCAUCUUCUCUUGGGUAAGGCUCUGCAGGUGGCAUCAGUGUAAAUAUUCAUAGAAUUGUCCCGCACCUCCCAGGAAAGUCAUGGUGUGGUGAGUUGACCCAUCUGAACUCUACUAAGAAAUGACUGGAUGGUUAGAGAUGAACAGACCUCCCCCGACAAGGGCUGCCAUUGGCACCUA